rnacentral:lncRNA from 1 species
CCGCUAUUGCCAUUGAUGCUUCAUCACCACCGUCUUCUCCACCAUCUUCAUCCUCUACACACCUAUGCCUCAUGGCCAAGGGUGACCGGAAGGUACAAAGUGAGGAUGAGAGUAGUCAGAGUGACAAUGAAUUUGAAUCACCUUCUUAUGAUGAACUUGUGCACUUGCUUAACAAAUACACUAAAACUAAAAGAAAAACAA